UAGGGAAUCUUCGGCAAUGGGGGGAACCCUGACCGAGCAACGCCGCGUGAGUGAAGAAGGUUUUCGGAUCGUAAAGCUCUGUUGUUAAGGAAGAACGAGUGUGAGAAUGGAAAGUUCAUGCUGUGACGGUACUUAACCAGAAAGGGACGGCUAACUACGUGCCAGCAGCCGCGGUAAUACGUAGGUCCCGAGCGUUGUCCGGAUUUAUUGGGCGUAAAGCGAGCGCAGGCGGUUAGAUAAGUCUGAAGUUAAAGGCAGUGGCUCAACCAUUGUAGGCUUUGGAAACUGUUUAGCUUGAGUGCAGAAGGGGAGAGUGGAAUUCCAUGUGUAGCGGUGAAAUGCGUAGAUAUAUGGAGGAACACCGGUGGCGAAAGCGGCUCUCUGGUCUGUAACUGACGCUGAGGCUCGAAAGCGUGGGGAGCGAACAGG
rnacentral:rRNA from 1 species